AGGAACCGGGAGCCGCGGAGCGUGGGGCCCGGCGCGGGCGGUGCAAGAGCCGGCGCGGCGGGCCAGGCCUCCAGACCGGCUGGGGGCUCGAGUGGGGCGGGCGGCCCUGUCAAUCCCGCUUCGCUGCCUCCGGGAGACCCGCAGCUCAUCGCUCUCUUAGUGGAGCAGCUCAAGAGCCGUGGGCUGUUUGACAGCUUCCGCCGGGACUGCCUGGCCGACGUGGACACUAAGCCAGCUUACCAGAACCUAAGGCAGAAGGUGGAUAAUUUCAUGUCAACACAUCUGGACAAACAGGAAUGGAAUCCUGCAAUGAACAAGAACCAGUUGCGAAAUGGGCUGAGGCCGAGCGUGGUUCAGUCGGGUAUGUUGGAAGCAGGAGUGGACAGGAUCAUUUCCCAGGUGGUAGACCCCAAACUAAACCACAUCUUCAGGCCACAGAUAGAGCGAGCAAUCCAUGAGUUCCUGGCUGCCCAGAAAAAAGAAGCUGUGCCAGCUCCGCCUCCAGAACCUGAAAGCCAGGAUCCUCCAGCACCAUCCCAGGAUGCUUCCUAAGAAUUUGCCCGGUACCUU